GCACCACAAGAACGCGUGGAGCAUGUGGCUUAAUUUGACUCAACGCGGGAAAUCUUACCGGGUCCGGACACACUGAGGAUUGACAGGCAAUAUCUCAUGGUUAUUAACCCGGUUAUUACAUUUUGUUUAAUCGGUUAUUAAGCAUCGAGUGUUAAAUAUGCUAGUCCUUUCAUGAUUAUGUGAUAGGUGGUGCAUGGCCGUUCUUAGUUCGUGGAGUGAUCUGUCUGCUUAAUUGCGUUUCACUAAGGGCCCAUAAAUUCAAGGUAUGUUAGCUAUCGUCGCUCUAUGGACCCCUUAUACUCGAUUUCGCUUUAAUUAGCGUUAUUUGUUUAAUAAGCGCGCGUCUUUAUUUAAUGAGUUUAAGACACUGCGCAUGCUGUUGGGCUCUGAAAGCAACGAACGUGACCGCAACGUCUUGUUGCCUUAAUAAAGUUGGCUUUAAAUACAAAUUCGUAUUUAAACCGCUUCAGAGGCUAUUUAAAAACUAGACGGACCGCUGUUUCUUUUCUUAAACCAGA
rnacentral:rRNA from 1 species